rnacentral:rRNA from 1 species
AUUGAACGCUGGCGGCAGGCCUAACACAUGCAAGUCGAGCGGAUGAAGGGAGCUUGCUCCUGGAUUCAGCGGCGGACGGGUGAGUAAUGCCUAGGAAUCUGCCUGGUAGUGGGGGAUAACGUCCGGAAACGGGCGCUAAUACCGCAUACGUCCUGAGGGAGAAAGUGGGGGAUCUUCGGACCUCACGCUAUCAGAUGAGCCUAGGUCGGAUUAGCUAGUUGGUGGGGUAAAGGCCUACCAAGGCGACGAUCCGUAACUGGUCUGAGAGGAUGAUCAGUCAAACUGGAACUGAGACACGGUCCGGAACCCUACGGAGGGCAGCGGUGGGGAAUAUUGGACAAUGGGCAAAAGCCUAAUCCAGCCAUGCCGCGUGUGUGAAGAAGGUCUUCGGAUUGUAAAGCACUUAAGUUGGGAGGAAGGGCAGUAAGUUAAUACCUUGCUGUUUUGACGUUACCAACAGAAUAAGCACCGGCUAACUUCGUG